GCCUAACACAUGCAAGUCGAACGGUAGCACAGAGGAGCUUGCUCCUUGGGUGACGAGUGGCGGACGGGUGAGUAAUGUCUGGGAAACUGCCCGAUGGAGGGGGAUAACUACUGGAAACGGUAGCUAAUACCGCAUAACGUCGCAAGACCAAAGAGGGGGACCUUCGGGCCUCUUGCCAUCGGAUGUGCCCAGAUGGGAUUAGCUAGUAGGUGGGGUAACGGCUCACCUAGGCGACGAUCCCUAGCUGGUCUGAGAGGAUGACCAGCCACACUGGAACUGAGACACGGUCCAGACUCCUACGGGAGGCAGCAGUGGGGAAUAUUGCACAAUGGGCGCAAGCCUGAUGCAGCCAUGCCGCGUGUAUGAAGAAGGCCUUCGGGUUGUAAAGUACUUUCAGCGAGGAGGAAGGCAUUAAGGUUAAUAACCUUAGUGAUUGACGUUACUCGCAGAAGAAGCACCGGCUAACUCCGUGCCAGCCGCCGCG
rnacentral:rRNA from 1 species